CCUACGGGUGGCUGCAGUGAGGAAUAUUGGCCAAUGGACGAGAGUCUGAACCAGCCAAGUAGCGUGAAGGCUGAAUUACCUAUGGGUUGUAAACUUCUUUUAUAUGAGAAUAAAAUGUUCCACGUGUGGGAUUUUGUAUGUAUAAUUUGAAUAAGGAUCGGCUACCUCUGAGCCAGCAGCCGAGGUAAUCCGGAGGAUCCGAGCGUUAUCCGGAUUUAUUGGGUUUAAAGGGAGCGUAGGUGGAUUGUUAAGUCAGUUGUGAAAUUUUGCGGCGCAACCGUAAAAUUGCAUUGGAAACUGGCAGUCUUGAGUACAGUAGAGGUGGGCGGAAUUCGUGGUGUAGCGGUGAAAUGCUUAGAUAUCACGAAGAACUCCGAUGGCGAAGGCAGCUCACUGGACUGCAACUGACAUUGAGGCUCGAAAGUGUGGGUAUCAAACAGGAUUAGAUACCCUUGUAGUC
rnacentral:rRNA from 1 species